CCUAGCCUCCCCUAGUAACCAAUAAUGCAAUGCGAUCUGAAGCAAAUACAAUUGACCGUCCUACCCCUAUCCCUAGGCGAUAUUGGCACAAUCAAGGAAUUUCCCACCAGUUCAUGACAAUGUGGAAUAGCUCUGGAUGUUUCUCUCUACUAAAAGAAUCCUCUUCUAAUUCGCACUGGGGCUAUAUAUAAGCCCAAAAAGAUAACAGAUAGAUUACAGAAAGAUUUACAUAAUCUCACUAAAAAAACAGACGACCUCUCAGGCGCUUAAAUUCAUCGUUCAGUGGUUUGCCUCUUGCCGCUUUGACCGCUCAGCGGUCAGUUUUGCUGCUGAGCGGUUUCCCUCUAAUCGCUCUGAGCGCUUAGUGGACCAUUCUAGCGCUCAACGACUUUCUUGACCCUUCUUUUCAUCAUUUUUCUCCUUCUUU
rnacentral:lncRNA from 1 species